AAAACAAGAUGAUAGAGUCCUUUCUUCAGCUUAGCCAACCCAAUCAUCUUCCCAAGGUGUUGAUCCUGUAUAACACACUGAUUAGAGUGGAAUAGAGUG